CUUAACGACAGAUGGUAAUUAAUAAUAAUUUCUGGCUUUUCAACGCCAAUUUUGUGGUAGCUACUGGAUAAAAUUGGCAGUUGUUUGAAAACAGUUCACAGAUGCCAUAUCCUGUGUGAAAACGGUGAUGCUGCGAAGAGCGAUUGGGCGGUCGGUAUGGAUUUCCAAAGGAAUCACUUUACGGUACAUACGGAAAAGAGGCUGCUUUACCUUGACUCUAUCAAUCUUUUUCCCUCCCAUUGCUGCGUUCUGCUAAAUGGCGAGAUGAAGCGCGGGCUCUCUGUUUGACUUUCCUAAUGCAAAGAAAAGGAACGGAGGAGAGCACACAACACAGAAGUAGUGCAAAUCCCGUGCAUAAAUCACUCAUCGAUUGUGAAACACAUAUCGGCCCACUGUUUGCCGAGGGAUACACGCCUAUAUGGGCAAACAUUGACACACGGUGUCCCACUGUACACUGUGCCUGUGUCCCGACUUGUUUGCUGACACUGAUAUAGCUUUCUUAAGUGCGCGCUUCACUCACUGUUUGCUGGCGAGGGAAGCUGCCAGGCGAAAAUCGAGUGAUAGUGGCCACCACCAGCCGGUGAUCAUCGUUCGUCGACGUCUCUUUAGGACAUGCGCUGGGAUGGACUGGAUGCGCGGCGUAUCAGCGUUAACGAUGACACAGUGACAAACAACAAUUUGCAUUCGUCUGCGAUGCACUCACAUCAUCUCAUCCAUUUCUAGCCCCCUGUCAAUAUGCGUUGCGGAAAUGCGCUUAUCCAACGGGAAAGAAUUGAAAGAAAACCUUUCUCGAGUGUGUGUGUGAGUGUGUGUGCUGGAAAAUAAAUAAAAGUGAAAAUUGUUUGUAGAGCUGCUAGAUAAACACUAUUAAAAUCUUAAUUUUCACUGCAACAAUCAAUAACAAACAUCGGUCCGGGGCUAUCAAGUGCAACACUACACUCCCGUAGCGUCGUAUACUCGAGCACUCAGCAGGAACUGCCCUAGCAUCUUCCGCGACGACGACGACGACGACGUCUGUCACCGGAAAUCGAAGACUUCAGGGAGCGGAUAUGACGCACUAGGGGCUUUUCUUCGCGGAUAGCAAGCGCGAAGGGUCCGCCCGGUCGGUAAUCUAUUUCCAAAUUGGAUAAACAUGAUCGGAGUAGUGCUCCCGCUUUCGAGCAGGAAAUCGAACGCUGUCAGACCACGCGCAUGGUGGUUCUGUAAACAUCUCAUCAUCGUCAUCAUCACGACGCUACUGCAAGGAACAGUGACAUAAACGUUGAAAGAAACCU